rnacentral:rRNA from 1 species
AGAGUUUGAUCCUGGCUCAGAACGAACGCUGGCGGCAGGCUUAACACAUGCAAGUCGAACGCCCCGCAAGGGGAGUGGCAGACGGGUGAGUAACGCGUGGGAAUCUACCGUGCCCUGCGGAAUAGCUCCGGGAAACUGGAAUUAAUACCGCAUACGCCCUACGGGGGAAAGAUUUAUCGGGGUAUGAUGAGCCCGCGUUGGAUUAGCUAGUUGGUGGGGUAAAGGCCUACCAAGGCGACGAUCCAUAGCUGGUCUGAGAGGAUGAUCAGCCACAUUGGGACUGAGACACGGCCCAAACUCCUACGGGAGGCAGCAGUGGGGAAUAUUGGACAAUGGGCGCAAGCCUGAUCCAGCCAUGCCGCGUGAGUGAUGAAGGCCUUAGGGUUGUAAAGCUCUUUCACCGGAGAAGAUAAUGACG